CCCGGCUGCUAUAGAGCCGGGUUAGAGAGCGAGCGCCCGUCCGCGGGCGUCGAGGGCGGGUUGCCUCGCGCUGACCCUUCCCGCCCUCGUUACACACCAGGUCCCCGCGGAAGCGGCGGUGUCGGCGCCAUGGCGGAGCUGACGGCUCUUGAGAGUCUCAUCGAGAUGGGCUUCCCCAGGGGACGCGCGGAGAAGGCUCUGGCCCUCACAGGGAACCAGGGCAUCGAGGCUGCGAUGGACUGGCUGAUGGAGCACGAAGACGACCCAGAUGUGGACGAGCCUCUAGAGACUCCCCUUGGACAUAUCCUGGGACGGGAGCCCACUUCCUCAGAGCAAGGCGGCCUUGAAGGAUCUGGUUCUGCUGCCGGAGAAGGCAAACCCGUUUUGAGUGAAGAGGAAAGACAGGAACAGACUAAGAGGAUGUUGGAGCUGGUGGCCCAGAAGCAGCGGGAGCGUGAAGAGAGAGAGGAACGGGAGGCAUUGGAACGGGAACGGCAGCGCAGGAGACAAGGGCAAGAGUUGUCAGCAGCACGACAGCGGCUACAGGAAGAUGAGAUGCGCCGGGCUGCUGAGGAGAGGCGGAGGGAAAAGGCCGAGGAGUUAGCAGCCAGGUCUGGGCAGUGGAAAUGAUGGAUAGGAGAUGAGAAAGAAAUCAAGAUUUGCUUUGUUGAUGUCUGACCUAAUUUCUUCUUGUCUACAUUUCAGACAAAGAGUUAGAGAAAAGAUCGAGAGG
rnacentral:sRNA from 1 species